CCUACGGGAGGCAGCAGUGGGGAAUAUUGCACAAUGGGGGAAACCCUGAUGCAGCGACGCCGCGUGAGUGAAGAAGUAUUUCGGUAUGUAAAGCUCUAUCAGCAGGGAAGAAAAUGACGGUACCUGACUAAGAAGCCCCGGCUAACUACGUGCCAGCAGCCGCGGUAAUACGUAGGGGGCAAGCGUUAUCCGGAUUUACUGGGUGUAAAGGGAGCGUAGACGGCUGAGCAAGUCUGAAGUGAAAGCCCGCGGCCCAACCGGCGGACUGCAUUUGAAACUGGCCGGCUAGAGUGCUGGAGAGGUAAGCGGAAUUCCUGGUGUAGCGGUGAAAUGCGUAGAUAUUAAGAAGAACA
rnacentral:rRNA from 1 species